UCUUAUGGAUAAGCAAAGAAAGUGGUUUCUUGGCAUGGAAUCUAUUUCUGAUGAAGAUGCUAUGAA
rnacentral:pre_miRNA from 1 species